GAUGAACGCUGACAGAAUGCUUAACACAUGCAAGUCGAUGGGGAAGUGGUGCUUGCACCCUGGCAACCAUGGCGGACGGGUGAGUAACGCGUAAGGGACUUACCUGCAGGACUGGGAUAACAGGGGGAAACUCCUGACAAGACCGGAUAAUGUCAUGGAGCUGCAUGGCUUUAUGAUGAAAGGAGACGCCUGCGGAGAGCCUUGCGUCCUAUUAGCUAGUUGGUGAGGUAAUGGCUCACCAAGGCGAAGAUAGGUAGCCGGCCUGAGAGGGUGGACGGCCACAAGGGGACUGAGAUACGGCCCUUACUCCUAGGGGAGGCAGCAGUGGGGAAUAUUGGACAAUGGGGGCAACGCUGAUCCAGCAAUUCGGUGUGCACGAAGAAGGUUUUCGGAUUGUAAAGUGCUUUCAGCAGGGAAGAAGUAAGUGACGGUACCUGCAGAAGAAGCGACGGCUAAAUACGUG
rnacentral:rRNA from 1 species